UACGUAUGGUGCAUGCGUUAUCCGGAUUUACUGGGUGUAAAGGGAGCGCAGGCGGCACGGCAAGCCUGAUGUGAAAGCCCGCGGCCCAACCGCGGGACUGCAUUGGGAACUACCGGGCUGGAGUGCCGGAGAGGUAGGCGGAAUUCCUAGUGUAGCGGUGAAAUGCGUAGAUAUCAGGAGGAACACCGGUGGCGAAGGCGGCCUGCUGGACUGCAACUGACGUUGAGGCCCGAAAGCGUGGGGAGCAAACAGG
rnacentral:rRNA from 1 species